rnacentral:sRNA from 1 species
CCUGCCUCAGCAAGCGUACCUGAGAAUACUUUUAAAGGAACCUGUUGAUAAAUGCAAAACAGUGGCUGUUGCAGGUGAUGGAACUGUACUGGAACAAUGGGAGAAGCUGGUAGCUUAUAGGAAGCCAAGAUGACCAGAAUGUUUUUAAAUAAUCCAUUGGAAAGAAGACUGAUGAAGAAAAAUAACAGCAUGAUUCAGGCACACCAUUGAGUUCUUUGGGAUGCCCGAAAGUGUCUGGUUGGGAAACAUGAAAUAGAAGACGAGAA